rnacentral:lncRNA from 1 species
AAGUAAAAGUUUUGAACUACUCAAGAUUCGUAAUUUAACAUAACUUUUAUUUCUGAAUAUUCUAUUUUUAAGUGGUAGAACCUGCAGAUUCUUUCACAAAACACUUAUCAAUUCUUAUAAAUAAUGGUAAAUUCCCUUUGAAUCCAGAAAAAGUACACAGGAACAUUUUACACACCCAAGUCAAACCCCAAGGCCAAUUUGAAUAAAGUGAAAUUUGGUUAACAUGACAAGUUAACUUUUGUCAUCCUUUACUGAAAUAAUUUUUUGACAGCAUUUUUUAUAUGUUGGAAAUAGGUGUUGUUUUUGUUGGUUAAGUAUUUUCAAACUAAGACAUUUCCUGACUUCAUUUACUGCUAUAAAGUUUAUAGUGAUCUUUUAAAAUGAUAAUAUUUUUAAGUAUUAAUGUUCAAAAAUAUGUACUGCAGUAAAUAAAAAAACUAUCAACCUAUUGAUUUCUAAGGUUCACUUUUACUCUACAAUUCUGUCCUUUUCUGUGGGAAUUUUAUAUUUCUUAUAACAGAUGCACCAGAGGGUGCUGUGCUGUUUGCAACAUGAGAUUAUUAUCACUAAGAAUGUGAACUCACUAGAACUUUUAUUUAAAGAAAAAAAUUUUUAAUUAUAUAUGCAUUGAAGCAUAUAAUAGGCUUAUUUUUAUGGAGUUUAACAUACUAUCUUAAUUGGCAGUUUUACAUCAGAACCUAACUUCGUGUACUAAUACAUAUUACCGCAACAUAUAACAAUAUAAAGAUUGAUAUCUUUGGCACUGUCUGGCAUUAGUCCUAUAGGCAUAUAUGUUGAUUAUCUUAUGUAGAUAUUUUAAUCUUUAUUUCAAAACUUAGGUUACCCUGAGAAUCAUACUAUUUGGCGAUAUGUGGCUUUAUACUUCUUAAAUUUCAUAUGAUUAGCACAUAUCAAUAAUUGUCCAUUCUUAUAACACUUUUACAUGGCAUAGUGAUAUGCUUUUUAUUGUAUAAUCUUUAAAAAAACCACUGGAAAAAUAAAUGGCAAUAGUGGUUAUCAGGCUAAUUCAUAAUAAAAUAGUAUUGACAUUAUCUAGAUAAUUCUGGCUGGUUGUAUUGGUUCACAUUUAUAAUCCCAACACUUUGGGACUGAGGCAGAAGGAUCACCUGAGGCUAUGAGUUCAAGAGCAGCCUGGGCAACAUAGCAAGAUUUCAUUUCUGUAAAAAAAAGUAAAAGAAAAUUAGCCAGCCUUGCCGGGUUUUGCUCUGUCACUCAGGCUGGAGUGCAGUGGCAUAGUCAUAGCUCACUGCAGCCUCAAUCUCCUGGGCUCACGUGGUCCUCCUGCCACAGCCUCCUGAGUAGCUAGGACUACAGGCUGUUGCCAUCAUUUUAAAAUUUAAAACAUUUCAAUUUUUUUUUUUUUUGUAGAGACAGGGUCUUGCUACAUUGCCCAGGCUAGAUUUUUGAAAGUAUACUUUAUAGCAAGUUGUAUUGCUUCAAAAUCUUUAUAUUUGUAGUUUUUAUUUCGUAUCAAAUGCAGAGUGUUCUUAGUGAAAACAAAUCAGUUAAAAAUGGAAACGUGUUUAGAGUAUCAAUAAAUAGAGUGCUUGGUCAAGAUUUCUGAAGGUUCUUGGUAAUUCCUGUUUAGGCAAAAAUGAGGUAUUGGGUAAUAGGAGUUGAGCUUAGGAAAACUAAUAGAGUGAGACAGCUGUCCUCAAAAUAAUAGUGUGUUAGUUGGUAAGAGGAGACAGAUACAGUGAAAGAUGAUAAAAGGAGAAAGGACAGCGAGUGACCAGGCCAAGAUAUAAAGGACUUCAAAAAUGCUAGCCAAAGGAGGUUAAAGAGAAAAUAAAGGUUCUCACUCUAUUUCUAACUGUAAAACCUUAGCCUGGUCACUUAUACCCUAUAGGUCUCAGUUUCUCCAUCUGUAACAUGAAACAAUAGGGCUAUGGGAUUUCUAAAGCCCUUUCCAAUCUAUGAUUCUGUAGCAAGAUUGACACUGGGAAAGGGAAGGAAACAUGCCAAUAACAUGGAGCCAGGAAUUGGCAUUUCCCUUACUCAUGUUCUCAAAGGCUAGCAAGUUGUUUGCUUAUUGUUUCUUCUGGAACCUGAAUUUUGAUUUAGUCAUGCACAAAUUUUAGAAAGGAAUUAAAAAGACUGGUGAGAAAAUCUAGUUCAUAAGCAAGCACAGCAUUUCUCUUAUUAUUUAUUAUUUUUGUUUUUAUGGGUACAUGUUAAGGGUAUAUAUUUAAGGGAUAUUUCGAUACAUGCAUACAAAGCAUAGUAGUCACCAACCAGACGCAAUACUGGCAACUAUGCUAUUAUCUGAUUUUUUAUUUUCUUAAUCUGAGUUUUUGGAAGGUUAUGUUGUUUACUUUUUAAUAGUAUGGGACUGUGGCAGGAAUUGUAAUUACCAAGAUUUUGUCUAAUUAUUUCUCUCUCUCUCCUCUCUGUGUCUCUCUUUCUGUGUGUGUGUGUGUGUGUGUCUGUGUUUUACAAUUAGAAGUAAAUCAGUGAGCUCAGACUUGAAUUAGUUUCGGUAUUGUGCUAAAGAUGAGCAGUUUGAGCCCUAACCCUGUUAAUUAUUUGAAACAGUCAAUUUAAGAGAAACCAAGAAUAUGGCAAUUGAACUUCCCAAUGUAACCUGAUGCUCUCUGCAGCCUCAUUUGUGGUAACAAAUAUGAAAGGAUACAUUUAUAUAAAACAGGAGGGGAGAGAUCUAAAUAAUAUACUUUUAGAUUGAACUAUAUUUCUGAUAUAUCAACAUAUAUACUGACUCAUAAAUUAGAAUGGAAAAUACAAAUAUUGAAAGUGUAAUUCAAAUGAAUAGAAAGUGCUAAAUACUUGCAAGCCUUAAAUUGGGAUUUGAAUAUAGAGAUUGAGUUACCAGAGUAACUAAAUACUAGACUGCUGUAUUUGUUGGAUGUGCAGAGAAGGAAACUCAAAUAUGGAACGUGGUCUUAAUGUCUUAUGAAUCAUUUUUACUUAACUUUUAAAAUUCAGAUUAAUAGAGUCCUCUAAAAAGAAGGUUUUUUUGAAUUUUUAGAAAUAGCUCAGAGUUUUACGUUUCCCUCUGUCAGAAUCUUUUCAGGAUUCCUCAUUGCCUCUUCGUCAGAGUCGUUUAAGAAAUAUUUAUUAGUUAUCACAGUGUCCCACAGAACAACCACAGUCUUUGCUGUUAGGAAGCUUAUAGUCUCAUGUCCAUUUUCAAACUUGUAUUUCACCACUUUUCUCUGUACUUCCCCUUUUUUGACCAGUCUACAUUUCGUAUCUGUGGGAUCUGCAUUUGUGAAUUCAACCAGCUGAGGAUGGGAAACACUUGAAAAAAGAAAACAAUAUAUAACAACACAACAAUAAAAAAAGUAAAUACAGUAUAACAACUUUAUAUAGCACUUACAUUGUAUUAGGAAUUAUAAUUAAUCUAGAGAUGAUUUAAAGUAUACACGGGAGGAUGUGUACAGGCUAUACACAAAUACUAUGCUAUUUUAUAUAAGAGAGUUGGGCACCCUUUUUUAAGAUGGAGGUCCUGGAACCAAUUCCCCAUGGUUACGGAGGGACAACUGUAUUAUGUAUUGGUUAAGAGCAUGAACUUCAAAAUGAACAGCCCUGGGUGUGAAUUCGAGCUCUGCCACUGACUAGCAGUUUAAUGUUAGGCAGAUUACUUAAAUUCUGUGAAAUAGGAUUAAUAAAAUCAACCUGAAAAGAUUGUUUCAAAGACAGUAUAUGACAUAGUCAAAAUAGCACUGUGCCUGACAUGAAGUUCUUUGGUCAGAUGUUGCCUUUACACCUCUCAGUGUACUUCAGCUCUCCUUUAUUGUUGAUUUCUUGGCCUUUCUUUUUUGGAUAGUUGUUCCACAUUCCUCUGUUUGUUGCUCUGGGGUACUUUUAGAGAAAUAGUUAAUUUCUUUUACUCUGCUUCCUGUAGUGUGUAAUGAGAAGAAAUGAAAGCAACCAUUGAAGGACAGAUAACUGGCUCUUUAAAAAGGAAUAAGGUAGUGCAGUUGACAGGUUAUUUAAAGGGUUCCCAGCUCAGAAUAGUUAAGUUGAAGGGCUAAAUGGUUCCAAGAAUGUAGAGAAAAUGUCUCACUUAAAAAAAAUUAACUUUCCAAAGUUGCAGGAUGUGUCUUGAAUUGUAGGCCAAUCACUCCUGAAAAGUAUUAAGCCCUUUAAACACACUGGUUGGACCCAUAGAGGGAAGCCUACAGGUUUAUUAGUACUCCUUAUCCUGAAAGCACAGCAUACCCUUUUAGGUUGCACAGCAACAGACUCCUAGCAACCGUAAUAGAUUGAAUUUCUAAGAGUGACCAGGCCGGAUGUAAUAAUAAAGCAAGAGGUACAAACAGUUGUCAUGGUUUUCUUUUCACGUAUGUGAUUGCUAAUGUAGACGUGAAAAGGAGAUUAAUUCAGAUACAUUCACAACCUGAAACAAGAUGCUUCCAUCAAAAGAAUCAGAUCCUCAUAUAGCUGCUAGAGUUGGAACUACAGUCUUUGACAGCAAUAAGCUGUAAAUAUACACACAUGCUAAUACCCUUGAUUUGUUCAUCUUUUGUGUCAGCAUUUGGAAAAGAUUGUUAAAGUGGCAGUUAUAGUAAAGACGGGCAAUUACAGUAAAGAGCAGAAAUUAGGUAUUUGUGACCUAUUAUAUUUCAUUAAAAGACUUCCUUAUUAAAAUGGCACUGCUUACUCUGAUUACUUGACAGCUGCCCUAAACAGAUUAGAAAAUACACAGCUUCAGCUAAAGGUAAAAUCAGCCUCUUUAAGCAAGCUUAUGGCAUAGAACAAGUAAAUGGUAUAGUGUAAGCAAUUUUUUUGUAACACUUUUGCUUGAGGUAGAGAUGUUUGUCAGUGAUUAAGUGGUGUAUUCUUUCACAUUCCUGUAAUAAUAGUUUGUCCACAGUGGCAUUUCCCAUUGAGAUAUUUUUAUACACCCAUCUGAUAUCAUACUAGUUCCUACUAGUAUGAGGCAUCCUAGUUCGAGAGAUCAGCAUGACUUCACCAAAAAAUCUUUUUCCUGCUAAGUGAUGAGUUACAGCUCCAGUUCAAUGUAAAUACUGCCUUUACCAGGCAAAAACUCUAAUUUUUGGAAGUUUCACCACGAGGUUAUCAGUUUUUUUCUUUAUCCUUUAAUAAUCCACUGGAGCCACUGUGAAUUUAAUAUUUAAAUUUGGGCAUCACUUUCAGAACAUUUAAUUGUUUGCUUAUUUAGAGAAGAAUUCCUUGUGGCACUUGUUACCUUCAAGAUAUUUCUAUUUACUUUGUUAUAUAGUAUAGUGACUGUAGCACUUUAUAGAAUAGUACUGCCUAUCAAUUGUUCAGAUUGUAGUUUAGCAGUUAAGUAGCCUGAAUUGGUACAUAUUGUAACAUUUCAAGACUUUGUCACUAUAUUUCACAUCACGAGGUAUGGCAUAAACACUGUAGAUCAGCCUGUGAGUAUCAAAUCACAGCUCACUCUUGAAGACACAAACACAGGUUCAGUAUGAAGCAGAUUUGUGGGAAGAUUACCUCCUGCAACUAAUCUUGAAUGUAGAUUUUUGUCAGGACUGUCACAACAUUAAUAGAAGGCUUGUUGUAGUACUUGCAUGGAUCUGUGAAAUUUCCACAAAGAUGCAAACUGUGCUGUAUGAGACAGUUGUAUGCCAGUUCCACAUACACAAGUAUCUUUAACUUACAUAUUUAGUGUAAUUUUUUUAAUCUGAUGCAUCUUGCAUGAAGUGUGUUAGCUUGCAAAAUUGUUAGGGAAAAAUGUGGGUUCUUUUGAAUAAGGGAAACCAGAGUUCAAAUCCUGGUUUUGUCAUUUGAUAGCUAAUUAUCCUUAAAUAAGUUCCUUAACUGCCUUGAUCCCAGAUUUUUAAUGUAAAAAUGGGAAUAUUACCUGAAAGAUAAAGUGAAAGGGAAAAUGAGAUAAGCGUAUAGAGAGAGCUUAACGUGAUAGUACAGAAUUAGUAGUUGAACUGUGGAAGCUAGUAUUCUUAUUUUCAUCUUUCUGGCUUAGUCUUUGUGGUAUAGGAUAUGAGGAGAGUUUUGCAGGAGAGGGUAGCAGCUGAAAAUAGUAACAUGGCAGUAGACAAUCAGAAACAAAAUUGUUUUCAAAGAGGAAUGUUAUGUACUGUAUGUUAAGUCAUUUUCAGUAUUGAUGGGUAUAGAUAGAUACAACUAUGAUUUACUGAAGCCUUACCAGCUGGAGAGAGCCACUGUUGCUCAUCUCUUCUUAAUUCUGCAUUCAGAAUGUCACAUUUCUAGCUUGAAAAGUAGCCAUUCCAGAAGUAUACACACCAUGGAAAUUAGUAGAAAUCACAAAUCUGACUUUUUUUGGUGGGGAGGGAAAGAGUGGAAUGUUGGUUUUAAACAUUUAUCAGUACAUGACUGGAUAUAACACAUCCCAACAAAAGUUCUUUGGGAUUCUCAAAAAAUUUAAGAUCUGAAGGGGUUCCAGGUCAACAACUCUGCUUAUCACAAAAGAACUGCUGCUUGUUACUAUACUAUGCAAAUUUAACACCAGAGUCUAUGCAAAUAUAUGAUUGAGGCAGAAUUUUCAGCCAGGUACUCUGUCUCUAGAGCCACUUUACCAGUCUUUUUUUCUAUAGUGUCUUCUAACAAGAUUAAUUCCACAAAGUGAUUUGAAGUUAAAAGAUACGUGAUAUCUUCUGUGGCUCUCAUCAUACUAAGUACAUAGAUUAAUUACUUGUUGACUGCUUUGAGACUAUCAGUAUUAUGGGGGUAUAGAAAAAUGGAAAGAAAAAGGGUUAUGGGCUUGAGUGGUUAGGGAAACCUUCAGAGAUGAGUCUACCUCCAUUUUUCAUAUCCUGGGCUCUUUGCCAUAGCAUGCCCACAAGAUCAUCCUGCAGGCAAUGUUGCCCCACCCCUUGCAAGCUAUCUGUUGACUACCCUGUAGGCGUAGAGUUGAUUUAAAAGCACAUAUUCUUUUAAAGAAUGCUUUUUCUGAGAUUUCCCCUAAUUUAUAUUUCUUAUUAUUACAAUACUAUGAUUAUUCUUUGAAUUAUAGUUCUUUGAAAACUAAAAAUUCUCUCAUGUAAAAUCAAAAACAGUAUCUUUUUUGGCUAAAUCAGAAACAUCUAAAAAUA